rnacentral:rRNA from 1 species
GCAACCCUAGGUGAGACGGGAUUACCCGCUGAAUUUAAGCAUA